AGUCGAACGGGAGAAUUGCUAGCUUGCUAAUAAUUCUCUAGUGGCGCACGGGUGAGUAACACGUGAGUAACCUGCCCCCAAGAGUGGGAUAGCCCCGGGAAACUGGGAUUAAUACCGCAUAAAAUCGCAAGAUUAAAGCAGCAAUGCGCUUGGGGAUGGGCUCGCGUCCUAUUAGUUAGUUGGUGAGGUAACGGCUCACCAAGGCGAUGACGGGUAGCCGGUCUGAGAGGAUGUCCGGCCACACUGGAACUGAGACACGGUCCAGACACCUACGGGUGGCAGCAGUCGAGAAUCAUUCACAAUGGGGGAAACCCUGAUGGUGCGACGCCGCGUGGGGGAAUGAAGGUCUUCGGAUUGUAAACCCCUGUCAUGUGGGAGCAAAUUAAAAAGAUAGUACCACAAGAGGAAGAGACGGCUAACUCUGUGCCAGCAGCCGCGGUAAUACAGAGGUCUCAAGCGUUGUUCGGAAUCACUGGGCGUAAAGCGUGCGUAGGCGGUUUCGUAAGUCGUGUGUGAAAGGCGGGGGCUCAACCCCCGGACUGCACAUGAUACUGCGAGACUAGAGUAAUGGAGGGGGAACCGGAAUUCUCGGUGUAGCAGUGAAAUGCGUAGAUAUCGAGAGGAACACUCGUGGCGAAGGCGGGUUCCUGGACAUUAACUGACGCUGAGGCACGAAGGCCAGGGGAGCGAAAGGGAUUAGAUACCCCUGUAGUCCUGGCAGUAAAC
rnacentral:rRNA from 1 species